rnacentral:rRNA from 1 species
CGGGUGAGUAACACGUGGAUAACCUACCUAUAAGACUGGGAUAACUUCGGGAAACCGGAGCUAAUACCGGAUAAUAUUUUGAACCGCAUGGUUCAAAAGUGAAAGACGGUCUUGCUGUCACUUAUAGAUGGAUCCGCGCUGCAUUAGCUAGUUGGUAAGGUAACGGCUUACCAAGGCAACGAUGCAUAGCCGACCUGAGAGGGUGAUCGGCCACACUGGAACUGAGACACGGUCAGACUCCUACGGGAGGCAGCAGCC